rnacentral:rRNA from 1 species
AUGGCGGCCAAGACUAAGGCACCAGCUGGUACUCCGGUCGGCCCCGUCCCUUUCGCGGACGUCGAGACCGACCCAGGCUUGGUCUCUCCGGUGCCGGAGCAGCUCCCGGAAGAGCACGCCGCCCUGCCGAGCGCGUCCGCGUUUAACGGCCCGACGAACAUCCGUUGCUACCAGGGCUUCUGGCUGUCGGAUUACUUGUCCGCCGCGGCCGUCGCCCUGCAGCGCCGCUUCGAGCCCUGCCGCGACGACAUCAUCGUCGCAAGCUUUCCCAAGUCCGGCACCACGUGGCUCAACGCCCUGGCGUUCGCCACCAUGGCACGGCGCGCUUACCCGGCCGCCGACGCCGGGCACCCGCUGCUACGCCUCAACCCGCACCAGUGCAUCCCUUUCCUGGAGAACCUCUUCCGGAGCCGCGCGGAGGCCGCCAAGCUCGAGGCCCUGCCGUCCCCGCGCCUCAUGAACACGCACAUGCCGCUCGGCAUGAUAAUGCCGGGCGCCGGCGGGUGCAAGGUCGUCUACGUCUGCAGGGAACCCAAGGACAUGGUCGUCUCGUUGUGGCACUUCCUCCGGCAUCUGCGGCCAGACCUGGCGCUGGCCGACGUCCUCGACUCCGUGUGCAGCGGCGCGGUGCCGUAUGGACCCGUCUGGGACCACAUCCUCGGCUACUGGCGCGCCAGCAUCGCGAGGCCGGACGCCGUGCUGUUCUUGCGGUACGAGGAGCUGCUGCGCGACCCCGCCGGGAACGUCAGAGAGCUGGCGCGGUUCGUCGGGCUGCCCUUCUCGGACGCCGAGGAGGAGGCCGGCGUCGUCCAGGACAUCGUCAAGCUCUGCAGCUUCGGGCACCUCAAGCCCCUGGAAGCCAACUCGACAGGCCAGUUGGAUCCCCUCGUCCCGGUGCCGCGCGAGGCGCUGUUCAGGAAGGGCGUGGCCGGCGACUGGGCGAACCACAUGACGCCGGAGAUGGCGCGACGCCUCGACGAAAUCGUCGCCGACAAGUUCCAUGCGACCGGCCUCACUUUUCGAUGA